rnacentral:rRNA from 1 species
AAUGAACGUUGGCGGCAUGGAUUAGGCAUGCAAGUCGAGCGAGAAGGGUUUUGAAGCUUGCUUUAGAACCCGGAAAGCGGCGCAAGGGAGAGUAACGAGUAGUUAUCUACCCCAAGGCCCGGAAUAGCUGCGGGAAACUGCAGGUAAUGCCGGAUAAUGUCCCCGGAUCAAAGGUGUGAUUCCGCCUUGGGAGGAGACUGCUUUGUACUAGCUAGUUGGUAGGGUAAUGGCCUACCAAGGCUACGAUGCAUAGCGGGCGUGAGAGCGUGGCCCGUCUCACUGGGACUGAAACACUGCCCAGACACCUACGGGUGGCUGCAGUCGAGAAUCUUCGGCAAUGGGCGAAAGCCUGACCGAGCGAUGCCGCGUGCGGGAUGAAGGCCCUCGGGUUGUAAACCGCUGUCGUAGAGGAGAAAGGUCUGAUGAAGAAUCAGAUUUGAUCUAUUCUAGGAGGAAGUCGGGGCUAAGUUCGUGCCAGCCGCCGCAGUAAUAC